CCAAAACCCUCAAAUAUUUUUUUUUAUUUUUCCUUCCCAUCGAUCUCGCCAAUGGCCAACACUAAUCUCCCUCGAAGAAUCAUUAAGGAAACUCAGCGUCUCCUCAGUGAACCAGCGCCUGGAAUUAGUGCCUCACCAUCAGAGGAUAAUAUGCGAUAUUUCAAUGUGAUGAUCCUUGGUCCAACACAAUCUCCAUAUGAAGGUAGUUGAUUUUUUUAAUCUGAUGGGUUGCGCUUUUUCUUUGUGUUAGAAAUGUAAAAUUUUAGCAGUUAUUGUAUAAUAGUUGGGUCUCAACUGAUUGAAUACAUAAAGAUUGACACCAUUGCCAAUUUUUAGUCAUUAAAAUGACCUCUAUAUGCCUUAAGAGUAUGAUUUUUCAUUUGAGAAAAUGGUUAUGCUGUGUUUAUUUUACUUCAUUUCUAUCUUUUAAUGAGAAAGAAGGGGCCCUUGUUUUCA